GUGUGUAUAGCUCGUAGAUGG
rnacentral:siRNA from 1 species